rnacentral:lncRNA from 1 species
AUUCUUCUGUUAUUUGCAUCCAAGUCUUUCUAAACUGAUACAGUCAAAAAUUCCCUGAAAGCUGUGAAUUCUGAAGUUUGAUAAUACAUCAAAGAAUCCAAGCCCCAAAAUAUAAGCAAAUGUGCCUGUUUAAGGAAUCUCACUGACAGGGUAAAAGGGCACAAACACACAGGGCAGAGAACAGGCAGAGGAAGAGAUGAUGCCACUGGGUUAUAAAAGCUGGACAGCAGAUGAUGGGUGAGGGAACCCACUGAGUUGGCCAGAGAAAACUGGAACAGCUGCCUAGGACAGGAGAUAAAGACUUUCCUAUCUUGGGAAGCACCCCUGACUGAAGACAAAAGAGAAAGCUCCCGGAAGAUAAUGAUUUGGAGUUCCCCAACAAAGGACCACGGCCCUACCCAGGCACCCCACCAUGUGACAGGCCCUGCCCAGACACACGGAGCAUGCAAAGGUG